rnacentral:rRNA from 1 species
AAAUUGAAGAGUUUGAUCAUGGCUCAGAUUGAACGCUGGCGGCAGGCCUAACACAUGCAAGUCGAACGGUAACAGGAAGCAGCUUGCUGCUUCGCUGACGAGUGGCGGACGGGUGAGUAAUGUCUGGGAAACUGCCUGAUGGAGGGGGAUAACUACUGGAAACGGUGGCUAAUACCGCAUAACGUCGCAAGACCAAAGAGGGGGACCUUCGGGCCUCUUGCCAUCAGAUGUGCCCAGAUGGGAUUAGCUUGUUGGUGAGGUAACGGCUCACCAAGGCGACGAUCCCUAGCUGGUCUGAGAGGAUGACCAGCCACACUGGAACUGAGACACGGUCCAGACUCCUACGGGAGGCAGCAGUGGGGAAUAUUGCACAAUGGGCGCAAGCCUGAUGCAGCCAUGCCGCGUGUAUGAAGAAGGCCUUCGGGUUGUAAAGUACUUUCAGCGGGGAGGAAGGUGUUGUGGUUAAUAACCGCAGCAAUUGACGUUACCCGCAGAAGAAGCACCGGCUAACUCCGUGCCAGCAGCCGCGGUAAUACGGAGGGUGCAAGCGUUAAUCGGAAUUACUGGGCGUAAAGCGCACGCAGGCGGUCUGUCAAGUCGGAUGUGAAAUCCCCGGGCUCAACCUGGGAACUGCAUUCGAAACUGGCAGGCUUGAGUCUUGUAGAGGGGGGUAGAAUUCCAGGUGUAGCGGUGAAAUGCGUAGAGAUCUGGAGGAAUACCGGUGGCGAAGGCGGCCCCCUGGACAAAGACUGACGCUCAGGUGCGAAAGCGUGGGGAGCAAACAGGAUUAGAUACCCUGGUAGUCCACGCCGUAAACGAUGUCUACUUGGAGGUUGUGCCCUUGAGGCGUGGCUUCCGGAGCUAACGCGUUAAGUAGACCGCCUGGGGAGUACGGCCGCAAGGUUAAAACUCAAAUGAAUUGACGGGGGCCCGCACAAGCGGUGGAGCAUGUGGUUUAAUUCGAUGCAACGCGAAGAACCUUACCUGGUCUUGACAUCCACGGAAGAAUCCAGAGAUGGAUUUGUGCCUUCGGGAACCGUGAGACAGGUGCUGCAUGGCUGUCGUCAGCUCGUGUUGUGAAAUGUUGGGUUAAGUCCCGCAACGAGCGCAACCCUUAUCCUUUGUUGCCAGCGGUCCGGCCGGGAACUCAAAGGAGACUGCCAGUGAUAAACUGGAGGAAGGUGGGGAUGACGUCAAGUCAUCAUGGCCCUUACGACCAGGGCUACACACGUGCUACAAUGGCGCAUACAAAGAGAAGCGACCUCGCGAGAGCAAGCGGACCUCAUAAAGUGCGUCGUAGUCCGGAUUGGAGUCUGCAACUCGACUCCAUGAAGUCGGAAUCGCUAGUAAUCGUGGAUCAGAAUGCCACGGUGAAUACGUUCCCGGGCCUUGUACACACCGCCCGUCACACCAUGGGAGUGGGUUGCAAAAGAAGUAGGUAGCUUAACCUUCGGGAGGGCGCUUACCACUUUGUGAUUCAUGACUGGGGUGAAGUCGUAACAAGGUAACCGUAGGGGAACCUGCGGUUGGAUCACCUCCUUACCUUAAAGAAGC